rnacentral:rRNA from 1 species
GACGAACGCUGGCGGCGUGCUUAACACAUGCAAGUCGAACGGAAAGGCCCUGCUUUUGUGGGGUGCUCGAGUGGCGAACGGGUGAGUAACACGUGAGUAACCUGCCCUGGACUUGGGGAUACCUCCAGGAAACGGGGGCUAAUACCGGAAAGGGGCUCCUGCUGCUGGGGGGGGGUUGGAAAUUUUCGGCGGUUGGGGAUGGACUCGCGGCUUAUCAGCUUGUUGGUGGGGUAGUGGCUUACCAAGGCUUUGACGGGUAGCCGGCCUGAGAGGGUGACCGGCCACAUUGGGACUGAGAUACGGCCCAGACUCCUACGGGAGGCAGCAGUGGGGAAUAUUGCACAAUGGGCGGAAGCCUGAUGCAGCAACGCCGCGUGCGGGAUGACGGCCUUCGGGUUGUAAACCGCUUUCGCCUGUGACGAAGCGUGAGUGACGGUAAUGGGUAAAGAAGCACCGGCUAACUACGUG